rnacentral:tRNA from 1 species
GGUCCUGUAGUUCAACGGAUAGAAUAGAAGUUUCCUAAACUUUAGAUACGAGUUCGAUUCUCGUCGGGACUA